UACGGGGGGGGGCAAGCGUUGUUCGGAAUUACUGGGCGUAAAGGGCUCGUAGGCGGCCAACUAAGUCCGACGUGAAAUCCCAAGGCUUAACCUUGGAACUGCGUCGGAUACUGGAUGGCUUGAAUUCGGGAGAGGGAUGCAGAAUUCCAGGUGUAGCGGUGAAAUGCGUAGAUAUCUGGAGGAAUACCGGUGGCGAAGGCGGCAUCCUGGACCGACAUUGACGCUGAUGAGCGAAAAGCUAGGGGAGCAAACGGGG
rnacentral:rRNA from 1 species